rnacentral:rRNA from 1 species
CGGCUUUCCUAUUUUGUUGGUUUCUAGGGAAGCCGUAAUGAUUAAUAGGGAUAGUCGGGGGCAUCAGUAUUCAAUUGUCAGAGGUGAAAUUCUUGGAUUUAUUGAAGACUAACUACUGCGAAAGCAUUUGCCAAGGAUGUUUUCAUUAAUCAGUGAACGAAAGUUAGGGGAUCGAAGACGAUCAGAUACCGUCGUAGUCUUAACCAUAAACUAUGCCGACUAGGGAUCGGGCGAUGUUACUAUCUUGACUCGCUCGGCACCUUACGAGAAAUCAAAGUUUUUGGGUUCUGGGGGGAGUAUGGUCGCAAGGCUGAAACUUAAAGAAAUUGACGGAAGGGCACCACCAGGAGUGGAGCCUGCGGCUUAAUUUGACUCAACACGG